GGCAGCUUUUCAGUGUCUUAAGAAGCAGCUUCUAGACUAGCUCUCAGAGAUGAAGUCAGUUGUUCUCCUGAUAUGGGUGCUACUAUUCUGGGUACCAGGUUCCACUAGGAACAUUGUGCUGACCCAGUCUCCAGCGUCUUUGGCUGUGACUUUGGGACAAAAGGUCACCAUCUCCUGCAGGGCCAGUGAGAGUGUCAAUAAAUUUGGCAUAAAUCUUAUGCACUGGUAUCAACAAAAACCAGGACAACUUCCCAAAAUCCUUAUCUAUACUGUGUACAGUCGAGCACCUGGGAUCCCUGCCAGGUUCAGUGGUGAUGAGGAUGAUUUAAACUUCACCCUCACCAUUAAUCCUGUGGAAGCUGAUGAUGCUGCAACCUAUUACUGUCAGCAAGGACUAACAGUUCCUCCCACAGCCAUUUAUGUCUAAGCAAAAACCUCCCAGGGCUGCUGCACACUGAGGCUCAAUGUCUCAGAUGUCUUUCCCCUAAGACAUCUUAAUAAGAG